GACGAACGCUGGCGGCGUGCCUAAUACAUGCAAGUCGAGCGAAGAAUAGGUUUCAAAUCUUCGGAUGCGAGAUCUAUUACUUAGCGGCGAACGGGUGAGUAACGCGUGGGCAACCUGCCCCCUAGACCGGGAUAACAGCUCGAAAGGGCUGCUAAUACCGGAUACGCCUCAUGUGCUGCAUGGCAUAUGAGGGAAAGCGCUUUAGCGCUGGGGGAUGGGCCCGCGUCCCAUUAGCUAGUUGGUGAGGUAACGGCUCACCAAGGCGGCGAUGGGUAGCCGGCCUGAGAGGGUGGACGGCCACACUGGGACUGAGACACGGCCCAGACUCCUACGGGAGGCAGCAGUAGGGAAUAUUGCGCAAUGGGGGGAACCCUGACGCAGCGACGCCGCGUGAGCGACGAAGGCCUUCGGGUCGUAAAGCUCUGUCCUAUGGGACGACGAGGACGGUACCAUAGGAGGAAGCCCCGGCUAACUACGUGCCAGCAGCCCGCGGUAAUACGUAGGGGGCGAGCGUUGUCCGGAAUUACUGGCGUAAAGGGUGCGUANGCGGAU
rnacentral:rRNA from 1 species